UCCAGAGGUCUCAAGCGUUGUUCGGAUUCAUUGGGCGUAAAGGGUGCGUAGGCGGCGCGGUAAGUCGGAUGUGAAAUCUCGGAGCUUAACUCCGAAACUGCAUUCGAUACUGCCGUGCUUGAGGACUGGAGAGGAGACUGGAAUUUACGGUGUAGCGGUGAAAUGCGUAGAUAUCGUAAGGAAGACCAGUGGCGAAGGCGGGUCUCUGGACAGUUCCUGACGCUGAGGCACGAAGGCCAGGGGAGCAAACGGG
rnacentral:rRNA from 1 species